rnacentral:sRNA from 1 species
GUGCGCCCCGUGCGAACCCAUUGAGAAGAAUAAUUAUUUUUCUCUACUGGAAGCUACAGCAGAGAAUCGGACAAGGAGGGAAGAAAGAGAUUGGUGAGGGGGAGAGAGAGAGAAAGAGAGAGAGAGACACAAAGGAAGUGAGUGCAAGAGGAGCCGGCUUAGCAUCUAAACUCAUCACCACCACCACCACCACAACCACCUGCAGAUAGAUGCUUAAGUGAUUCUAGAAGAGAUCUCAAGGACUGGCGUUCUGCUCGUUAUGUAACCUAUGGGCUUCCCUUUGCACAGCUCCUCAUGUGCCCAUCUCCAUGCUGAUCAAACCACCCCACCUCAUUCCUUGCCUUCUGCAAGGGGAAGUACCUCAGGCUGGAGUUUGUCCUGUCUACAGACUGAAUAUGCAUUUUGCCCAGUGGCUGGGGAUGUGCUGGUGGUGGAAUGUGCUGGUGAUCGUUUCUGGAUGGAGAGCCACAACCCCCCAGUGUUCUGCCAUGACUGACUCCUGACCUUGGCAAAUUG